rnacentral:rRNA from 1 species
UUAAGCGACUAAGCGUACACGGUGGAUGCCCUGGCAGUCAGAGGCGAUGAAGGACGUGCUAAUCUGCGAAAAGCGUCGGUAAGGUGAUAUGAACCGUUAUAACCGGCGAUGUCCGAAUGGGGAAACCCAGUGUGAUUCGUCACACUAUCGUUAACUGAAUACAUAGGUUAACGAGGCGAACCGGGGGAACUGAAACAUCUAAGUACCCCGAGGAAAAGAAAUCAACCGAGAUUCCCCCAGUAGCGGCGAGCGAACGGGGAGCAGCCCAGAGUCUGAAUCAGCUUGUGUGUUAGUGGAACGGUCUGGAAAGUCCGACGGUACAGGGUGAUAGUCCCGUACACCAAAAUGCACAGGCUGUGAACUCGAAGAGUAGGGCGGGACACGUGGUAUCCUGUCUGAAUAUGGGGGGACCAUCCUCCAAGGCUAAAUACUCCUGACUGACCGAUAGUGAACCAGUACCGUGAGGGAAAGGCGAAAAGAACCCCGGCGAGGGGAGUGAAAAAGAACCUGAAACCGUGUACGUACAAGCAGUGGGAGCACCUUCGGGUGUGACUGCGUACCUUUUGUAUAAUGGGUCAGCGACUUAUAUUCUGUAGCAAGGUUAACCGUAUAGGGGAGCCGCAGGGAAACCGAGUCUUAACUGGGCGUUAAGUUGCAGGGUAUAGACCCGAAACCCGGUGAUUCAGCCAUGGGCAGGUUGAAGGUUGGGUAACACUAACUGGAGGACCGAACCGACUAAUGUUGAAAAAUUAGCGGAUGACUUGUGGCUGGGGUGAAAGGCCAAUCAAACCGGGAGAUAGCUGGUUCUCCCGAAAGCUAUUUAGGUAGCGCCUCGUGAAUUCAUCUUCGGGGUAGAGCACUGUUUCGGCUAGGGGUCAUCCCGACUUACCAACCCGAUGCAAACUACGAAUACCGAAGAAUGUUAUCACGGGAGACACACGGCGGUGCUAACGUCCGUCGUGAAGAGGGAAACAACCCAGACCGCCAGCUAAGGUCCCAAAGUCAUGGUUAAGUGGGAAACGAUGUGGGAAGGCACAGACAGCCGGAUGUUGGCUUAGAAGCAGCCAUCAUUUAAAGAAAGCGUAAUAGCUCACUGGUCGAGUCGGCCUGCGCGGAAGAUGUAACGGGCUAAACCAUGCACCGAAGCUGCGGCAGCGACACUAUGUGUUGUUGGGUAGGGAGCGUUCUGUAAGCCUGCGAAGGUGACCUGUGAGGGUUGCUGGAGGUAUCAGAAGUGCGAAUGCUGACAUAAGUAACGAUAAAGCGGGUGAAAAGCCCGCUCGCCGGAAGACCAAGGGUUCCUGUCCAACGUUAAUCGGGGCAGGGUGAGUCGACCCCUAAGGCGAGGCCGAAAGGCGUAGUCGAUGGGAAACAGGUUAAUAUUCCUGUACUUGGUGUUACUGCGAAGGGGGGACGGAGAAGGCUAUGUUAGCCGGGCGACGGUUGUCCCGGUUUAAGCAUGUAGGCUGGUUGUCCAGGCAAAUCCGGAUAAUCAAGGCUGAGGUGUGAUGACGAGGCACUACGGUGCUGAAGUAACAAAUGCCCUGCUUCCAGGAAAAGCCUCUAAGCAUCAGGUAACAUUAAAUCGUACCCCAAACCGACACAGGUGGUCAGGUAGAGAAUACCAAGGCGCUUGAGAGAACUCGGGUGAAGGAACUAGGCAAAAUGGUGCCGUAACUUCGGGAGAAGGCACGCUGGUGUGUAGGUGAAGUCCCUGCGGAUGGAGCUGAGACCAGUCGAAGAUACCAGCUGGCUGCAACUGUUUAUUAAAAACACAGCACUGUGCAAACACGAAAGUGGACGUAUACGGUGUGACGCCUGCCCGGUGCCGGAAGGUUAAUUGAUGGGGUUAUCCGUAAGGAGAAGCUCUUGAUCGAAGCCCCGGUAAACGGCGGCCGUAACUAUAACGGUCCUAAGGUAGCGAAAUUCCUUGUCGGGUAAGUUCCGACCUGCACGAAUGGCGUAAUGAUGGCCAGGCUGUCUCCACCCGAGACUCAGUGAAAUUGAACUCGCUGUGAAGAUGCAGUGUACCCGCGGCAAGACGGAAAGACCCCGUGAACCUUUACUAUAGCUUGACACUGAACAUUGAGCCUUGAUGUGUAGGAUAGGUGGGAGGCUUUGAAGCGUGGACGCCAGUCUGCGUGGAGCCAACCUUGAAAUACCACCCUUUAAUGUUUGAUGUUCUAACGUUGGCCCCUGACCGGGGUUGCGGACAGUGUCUGGUGGGUAGUUUGACUGGGGCGGUCUCCUCCCAAAGCGUAACGGAGGAGCACGAAGGUUAGCUAAUCCUGGUCGGACAUCAGGAGGUUAGUGCAAUGGCAUAAGCUAGCUUGACUGCGAGCGUGACGGCGCGAGCAGGUGCGAAAGCAGGUCAUAGUGAUCCGGUGGUUCUGAAUGGAAGGGCCAUCGCUCAACGGAUAAAAGGUACUCCGGGGAUAACAGGCUGAUACCGCCCAAGAGUUCAUAUCGACGGCGGUGUUUGGCACCUCGAUGUCGGCUCAUCACAUCCUGGGGCUGAAGUAGGUCCCAAGGGUAUGGCUGUUCGCCAUUUAAAGUGGUACGCGAGCUGGGUUUAGAACGUCGUGAGACAGUUCGGUCCCUAUCUGCCGUGGGCGCUGGAGAAUUGAGGGGCUGCUCCUAGUACGAGAGGACCGGAGUGGACGCAUCACUGGUGUUCGGGUUGUCAUGCCAAUGGCACUGCCCGGUAGCUAAAUGCGGAAGAGAUAAGUGCUGAAAGCAUCUAAGCACGAAACUUGCCCCGAGAUGAGUUCUCCCUGAGACUUUAAGUCUCCUGAAGGAACGUUAAAGACGAUGACGUUGAUAGGCCGGGUGUGUAAGCGCAGCGAUGCGUUGAGCUAACCGGUACUAAUGAACCGUGAGGCUUAACCU